GACGAACGCUGGCGGCGUGCUUAACACAUGCAAGUCGAACGGUGACGCUGGAGCUUGCUCCAGCUGAUCAGUGGCGAACGGGUGAGUAACACGUGAGCAACCUGCCCUUGACUCUGGGAUAACCCCGGGAAACCGGAGCUAAUACCGGAUACGAACCGCACAGGCAUCUGCGUGGUUGGAAAGUUUUUCGGUCAAGGAUGGGCUCGCGGCCUAUCAGCUUGUUGGUGGGGUAACGGCCCACCAAGGCGACGACGGGUAGCCGGCCUGAGAGGGCGACCGGCCACACUGGGACUGAGACACGGCCCAGACUCCUACGGGAGGCAGCAGUGGGGAAUAUUGCACAAUGGGCGCAAGCCUGAUGCAGCGACGCCGCGUGAGGGAUGAAGGCCUUCGGGUUGUAAACCUCUUUCAGCAGGGAAGAAGCGAAAGUGACGGUACCUGCAGAAGAAGCACCGGCUAACUACGUGCCAGCAGCCGCGGUAAAAC
rnacentral:rRNA from 1 species